GAUGAACGCUGGCGGCGUGCCUAAUACAUGCAAGUCGAGCGAACAGAUGAGGAGCUUGCUCCUUUGACGUUAGCGGCGGACGGGUGAGUAACACGUGGAUAACCUACCUAUAAGACUGGGAUAACUUCGGGAAACCGGAGCUAAUACCGGAUAACAUAUUGAACCGCAUGGUUCAAUAGUGAAAGGCGGCUUUGCUGUCACUUAUAGAUGGAUCCGCGCCGUAUUAGCUAGUUGGUAAGGUAACGGCUUACCAAGGCAACGAUGCGUAGCCGACCUGAGAGGGUGAUCGGCCACACUGGAACUGAGACACGGUCCAGACUCCUACGGGAGGCAGCAGUAGGGAAUCUUCCGCAAUGGGCGAAAGCCUGACGGAGCAACGCCGCGUGAGUGAUGAAGGUCUUCGGAUCGUAAAACUCUGUUAUCAGGGAAGAACAAAUGUGUAAGUAACUGUGCACGUCUUGACGGUACCUGAUCAGAAAGCCACGGCUAACUACGUG
rnacentral:rRNA from 1 species